rnacentral:rRNA from 1 species
AACGAACGCUGGCGGCAUGCCUAACACAUGCAAGUCGAACGAGACCUUCGGGCCUAGUGGCGCACGGGUGCGUAACGCGUGGGAACCUGCCCUUAGGUUCGGAAUAACUCAGAGAAAUUUGAGCUAAUACCGGUUGAUGUCUUCGGACCAAAGAUCUAUCGCUUUUGGAUGGGCCCGCGUUGGAUUAGCUAGUUGGUGGGGUAAAGGCCUAUCAAGGCGAGGUUGCAUAGCUGGUCUGAGAGGAUGAUCAGCCACACUGGGACUGAGACACGGCCCAGACUCCUACGGGAGGCAGCAGUGGGGAAUAUUGGACAAUGGGCGAAAGCCUGAUCCAGCAAUGCCGCGUAAGUGAUGAAGGCCUUAGGAUUGUAAAGCUCUUUUACCCGAGAUGAUAAUGACAGUAUCGGGAGAAUAAGCUCCGGCUAACUCCGUG